UACGUAGGGAGCAAGCGUUGUUCGGAUUUACUGGGCGUAAAGGGCGCGUAGGCGGCGCGGUAAGUCACUUGUGAAAUCUCUGAGCUUAACUCAGAACGGCCAAGUGAUACUGCAGUGCUAGAGUGCAGAAGGGGCAAUCGGAAUUCUUGGUGUAGCGGUCAAAUGCGUAGAUAUCAAGAGGAACACCUGAGGUGAAGACGGGUUGCUGGGCUGACACUGACGCUGAGUGCGCGAAAGCCAGGGGAGCAAACGGG
rnacentral:rRNA from 1 species